CCAGCACCACUAAAUCUCGUGAAAUACCAUGUUAUAUCUUGUUUGUUUAAUGCGUACAAAGACUGAAGUGUAAACGUGACAAGUUGUGCUCUUACAUAAGUACAUUUCUUGCCUAAGUGCAGCAAUUUCCACCUGCUUCUAGUGCCUCCAGUGUUUAUUCUAAGCUAACAUGUCUCCUGUUUCCUGGCUGUAGCUUCAUAUUUAAUUAAAUACUUCGACUUUCUGAGAGAUAGAAGAAUGAUUUCUCUUUCAUGUCUUUUACUCUAAAUAUGAGGCAAAAACAGCAGCUGAUUAGCUUAGCAUAAAGGCUGGAAAAAAGGAACAGCUAUUCUGGCUCUUUCCAAAGCAGUGCCAGUCAGCAGAAACAUCCAGGACAAGCCGACGGUUCGUCAAGCCACCGGUAGAUGGAGACGUUGAGAGGAGAGAGGCCCAGUGGCAGAGCUGAGCCCAAAAGUUUCAGAUGUGGGAAUGUUGCUGGUUCAAAUCUCUGCACUGGCUCGGCAAAUGUGGCUUGAGAACCCCUGAAUGAAAACUGUCUUUUGAGGAGCAGCAGGUAAAAUACCCAAGUGACUUCAUAUUACUCCUGAGGCCAGCCGUUAAAGAUCAUGAUGGCACUGCAGCACCAAAGAGUGAAUCUCCUGUUUAAAAAUGAUGCUGAACUCUGCUUGGAAAGUAAAGUGGGGAGUUAUGUAGAGCUCAAUCAA